rnacentral:lncRNA from 1 species
GAACGUAACUUUUACAUGCACAACUGUAUUUUUCCUCAUCUCAUCCAAAACUAGGAACAUUGGCAUAGGAAGACAGAAACCUCAGCUUUCAGAAUCCAAUAUACGAGGUGAAGAAGCAGUCAACACAACAAAGAAGAAAGGAGGAAAGCAAGUAGAGGAACAAGGAGGCAAAGGUCUUGCUUGACUCAUCUCUGCUGUGGUGACCUUGGAGGCUUCAUAUUCCAGAUUGCACAGCCAUAAGAUGAAAGAAGACUUCUCACUCACAUUAG